rnacentral:rRNA from 1 species
AGGACGAACGCUGGCGGCGUGCUUAACACAUGCAAGUCGAGCGGAAAGGCCCUUCGGGGUACUCGAGCGGCGAACGGGUGAGUAACACGUGAGCAACCUGCCCUUAGCUCCGGGAUAGCUCCGGGAAACCGGAAUUAAUACCGGAUAUGACCUAGGCCGACAUCGGCUGUGGUGGAAAGUUUUUCGGCUAGGGAUGGACUCGCGGCCUAUCAGCUAGUUGGUGAGGUAACGGCCCACCAAGGCGACGACGGGUA